rnacentral:rRNA from 1 species
CAGUAGCCGCGGUAAUACAGAGGGUGCAAGCGUUAAUCGGAAUUACUGGGCGUAAAGCGCGCGUAGGUGGUUUGUUAAGUCGGAUGUGAAAUCCCCGGGCUCAACCUGGGAACUGCAUCCGAAACUGGCAAGCUAGAGUAUGGUAGAGGGUAGUGGAAUUUCCUGUGUAGCGGUGAAAUGCGUAGAUAUAGGAAGGAACACCAGUGGCGAAGGCGACCACCUGGACUGAUACUGACACUGAGGUGCGAAAGCGUGGGGAGCAAACAGGAUUAGAUACCCGGGUAGUCCCUGUCUCUUAUAA